rnacentral:rRNA from 1 species
AUUUCCUACGGGACGCAGCAGUGAGGAAUAUUGGUCAAUGGGCUUACGCCUGAACCAGCCAAGUCGCGUGAGGGAAGACUGCCCUAUGGGUUGUAAACCUCUUUUGUCGGGGAGCAAUGCCGGGCACGCGUGCCCGGAGGGAGAGUACCCGCAGAAUAAGCAUCGGCUAACUCCGUGCCAGCAGCCGCGGUAAUACGGAGGAUGCGAGCGUUAUCCGGAUUUAUUGGGUUUAAAGGGUGCGUAGGCGGAUUUUUAAGUCAGCGGUAAAAUGUCCGGGCUCAACCCGGGCCGGCCGUUGAAACUGG